GACGAACGCUGGCGGCGUGCCUAAUACAUGCAAGUAGAACGCUGAAGGAGGAGCUUGCUUCUCCGGAUGAGUUGCGAACGGGUGAGUAACGCGUAGGUAACCUGCCUGGUAGCGGGGGAUAACUAUUGGAAACGAUAGCUAAUACCGCAUAACAGUAGAUGUUGCAUGACAUUUGCUUAAAAGGUGCAAUUGCAUCACUACCAGAUGGACCUGCGUUGUAUUAGCUAGUUGGUGAGGUAACGGCUCACCAAGGCGACGAUACAUAGCCGACCUGAGAGGGUGAUCGGCCACACUGGGACUGAGACACGGCCCAGACUCCUACGGGAGGCAGCAGUAGGGAAGCUUCGGCAAUGGACGGAAGUCUGACCGAGCAACGCCGCGUGAAUGAAGAAGGUUUUCGGAUCGUAAAGCUCUGUUGUAAGAGAAGAACGAGUGUGAGAGUGGAAAGUUCACACUGUGACGGUAUCUUACCAGAAAGGGACGGCUAACUACGUG
rnacentral:rRNA from 1 species